UGGGCCUGCAAACACUGUAACGUAGCAAUUUCCACUUACUUAUAUCCAGGCUGGAGGGGGCAUCCAAUGUGAAAGGUGCCUACUGGUGGAAUCUCUCAGGCAGCAGGUGGGAAAGCUA